AACGAACGCUGGCGGCGUGCCUAACACAUGCAAGUCGAACGAGAAAGGGCUUCGGCUCCGAGUAAAGUGGCGCACGGGUGAGUAACACGUAGGUAACCUGCCUCUAAGAUUGGGAUAACUUGUCGAAAGACGAGCUAAUACCAAAUGAGACCACAGUCUCCUCGGGGACAGAGGUCAAAGGUAGCCUCUAUUAUAAGCUAUCGCUGAGAGAUGGGCCUGCGUACCAUUAGCUUGUUGGUGAGGUAACGGCUCACCAAGGCAAAGAUGGUUAGCUGGUC
rnacentral:rRNA from 1 species